GUGAAGCUGAUUGUAAACGAUACAGGUUGUUUCUGAACUGGUUGUAUUUCUAAUUAUUAUUUGACUGAUUUAUUUAUUUCUUGUGGUUUUGCUCGGGUCGACACCGGAAACAGAAGGGUGAGUAAACACACGUACAGACCUGCUGUAACUGUGUAAAGUCUCAUAACAAACAUCAUCAUCCUCAUUCUCUUCAUCAUUAACAGGAUACAGUGAGUGAGAGGGCCAAUCUUAAUGAAAACUGUUUCGAGGUUUUGGCUCAUCUGAAUGUGAUUCCGUGUGAGGACGUGGGAAAAAUCCAGAAACAGGUUGUGGAGAUCCUCAAACAUGGAUACCGCUCACCUCUGGAUUACAACCUAACUACACGCGAGGAGUAUAUACACGUUUAUCCUACAGUCUCAGAUGUAAUUCCUCAUUCAACAAUGGAGAGCAUCACAGUGACAGACACGCCCUCCACCACCACGCCCAUCACCACCACGCCCACCACCACC